GAAGAGACAGAGGAGAGUGAGGAACACCCAGCAGAGAGACAGAGACACAGAGAAGAGGAAACAAAGAGACUUGGAGAACCAGAGGCAGAGAUAGUGCAAGAGCAGAGAUCAGAAGAGCAGUGGCGGGUUGGGGGCCGGAGAGACAGGGAGACAGAGACACAGAGGGAGUGAACUGGGCAGAGGCACGGAGGGGGACAAAGUCAGCGAACCGCUUCUGCUCCAGGUCCCCCGGCCAGGCUGAACGUUUUGGGAGGGGCUGGGACACAGCCCAUGGGGCCUGAGUGGAGGGGGUGGGAUUUGAAGCCGGUAGGCCCCGGAAAUAGAGUGUGUUCUCAGAUGCCAGGGGCUGGGAGAGGUCGGGGAGUAGGAGGGUUCAGACUUCUGGUCUGAGUUGGGAGGGGGCUAGGGGCCCAGACUCUUGGGACUGAUGGGGAUGGGAGCUGGGGAUUGAGACUCCUGGGUCCAGGUCAUGACGGAUUGGGGAAUCUGGACUCUGGUCCUGUCUGUGCCAGGCACUGUGUCAGGCCAGGGGAGUGGCCGGGGGAGGAAGAUGAAUGAAUCAGUGACAGAGGCUUCAGGAAGUACUGGCACUCUGGAUCAGAACCUGGCUCCAGCCUUCCCUUGGCUGUCUGGGUGAAGGAUUCUCCCACUUCGAGCCUCGGUUUCCCCCUUUGUGAAAGCCCCUGCAUAUACUCAUUCAACCCUAAGCGACCAAUAUUUACUGAAUAUCUACUACGGGCCAGCCUGCAUAUAUUUGUCUACAUAUACGCAUAUUCACUGGGACCUUAGCAGCCAAUGUUUACUGAGCACCUACUAUGGGCUGGUGCUGUCCUUGGUGCUGGAGUCACAGUGGCAAAAACCGGAGCUCACUGUCUGAUGGGGAAGGCAGAUAGAUACGGAUCAAUCACGCUGGAGUGCAUGUGGGGGAACGUGUGCUCCGAGGCAGGGAACUGCUAUGGGAAUGCAGAGAACAGAAGGCACUGAGCUGAGCUCACACUGGGAGGAGGUGAUUCCUGAGGUCUUCCUGGAGGCAGCAAUGUUUCAGCUGAAAUUGGCAGAAUGAAACCAACCUGGCGACAUCUCAGAAACCUAUUCUGGAGCAGAAAAGGCAUUUUGCAGGAGUAUACCCACAGCUUGACGCUGUUUGUUUAAGGUUACAUUCCUGCCAAACAGUGCUAAUGAGAGUGCGAGCAAACAGGUCCUUUCAUACACGGCUGGGGCAAGUAGAACCUGGAACAUUCUUACCGAGCCAGCAAUUCCAGGAAUUUAUUCUUCAGAGGCAUCUACUCGGAACUGCACAAAAUAAUGUCUGCACCAGGUUAAUCAUUGCAGUACUGCACAUCACUGCAAACAGCUGAAACCAAUCUAAACACCCAUCUGUAGGAGAGCUGAGUAAUAAAUCAUGACUGAUCCACCCAGUGGAAUACUAGGUGUCCAUAGAAAAGAACAAAGAAGCUCACCGUGUGCAUAUAUGGUAAGUCUCCAAGUGAUAACCUGUAGAAGAGAAAAAUGGAAGGUCAAGUACAGCCUGCAGCCUGUUCUGGGUUUGUGUGUGUUCUGGGAUUGUGUCCAGAUGAACUGGAACAAGAGAGAAGAAACUGAAACUGGCAACAUAGUCUAACUUCCAGGACAGAAAUUUACUACACUCUAUCCUUGUUUUUUUGUUUGUUUGUUUUUUUUUGUUUUGUUUUGUUUUCUUUUGAGAUGAGAUCUCCUUCUGUUGCCCAGGCUGGCUGGAGGAAGUGCAGUGGUGUGAUCUCGGCUCACUGCAGCCUCGACCUCCCGGGCUCAAGCAAUCCUCCCACCUCAGCCUCCUGAGUAGGUGGGGCUACAGGAGUGUGCCACCAUGUCUGGCUAAUUUUUGUAUGUUUUGUAGAGAUGGGGUCUCCCUAUGUUGCCCAGGCUGGGCUUGAACUCCUGGGCUCAAGCAAUCCACCUGCCUCGGCCUCCCAAAGUGCUGGAAUUACAGACAUUAGCCACUGUGCCCGGCUUUUUGUACUUUUUGAAUUCAAAACCGUGUGAAUGUGCUAUAUACUCAAAAAAGUAAAGGAGGCCAAGCAUGGUGGCUCACGCCUGUAAUCUCAGCACUUUGGGAGGCCCAGGUGGGCAGAUCACCUGAGGCCAGGAGUUCAAGACCAGCCUGGCCCACAUGGUGAAACCCCAUCUCUACAAAAGGUACAAAAAUUAGCCAGGCAUAAUGGCACAUGCCUAUAAUCCCAGCUACUCAGGAGGCUGAGGCAGGAGAAUGGCUUGAACCUGGGAGGCAGAGGUUGCAGUGCGCUGAGAUCGUGCCAUUGCACUCCAGCCUGGGCAACAGAGCAAAACUCCACCUCAAAAAAAAAAAAAAAAAAAAAAAGAAAAGAAAAAAGUAAAGGAAAAAGAAAUACAUGGGGAUUAUAAAAAUAAAUGAAAUGAAAAAUAAUAGCUUACUCUUGUGAGCGUAUUACAAAUAUGAUCCCAUUUACUCCUUGCUUUAUGAAGUAGGUACCAUUAUUUUUCCCUUUUACAGAGGAUGAAAGUGAGAUACUAGAAGUUUCCAAACCUAGCGAGUCUCAGUAAGAAGUUUCACUUCACAAACAGAUAGGAGAAAUGAUAGUGGAUCAGAAGCAUGAUUUAAAAGAAAUAAUAAAAGGCCGGGCGUGGUGGCUCAUGCCUGUAAUCCCAGCACUUUGGGAGGCCGAGGGAGGCAGAUCACUUGAGGUCAGGAGUUCAAGACCAGCCUGGCCAACACGGUGAAACCGUCUCUACUAAAAAUACAAAAAUUAGCUGGGCAUGGUGGUGCGCGCCUGCAAUCCCAGCUAGUCCGGAGGCUGAGGCAGGAGAAUCGCUUGAUCCUGGGAGGCGGAAGUUGC
rnacentral:lncRNA from 10 species